GGGCAAUCUGCCCUGCACUUCGGGAUAARCCUGGGAAACUGGGUCUAAUACCSGAUAGGACCUCAAGACGCAUGUCUUCUGGUGGAAAGCUUUUGCGGUGUGGGAUGGGCCCGCGGCCUAUCAGCUUGUUGGUGGGGUGACGGCCUACCAAGGCGACGACGGGUAGCSGGCCUGAGAGGGUGUCCGGCCACACUGGKACUGAGAUACGRYCCARAYUYCUACGGGAGGCAGCAGUGGGGAAUAUUGCACAAUGGGCGCAAGCCUGAUGCAGCGACGCCGCGUGGGGGAUGACGGCCUUCGGGUUGUAAACCUCUUUCACCAUCGACGAAGGUCCGGGUUUUCUCGGAUUGACGGUAGGUGGAGAAGAAGCACCGGCCAACUACGUGCCAGCAGCCGCGGUAAUACGUAGGGUGCGAGCGUUGUCCGGAAUUACUGGGCGUAAAGAGCUCGUAGGUGGUUUGUCGCGUUGUUCGUGAAAUCUCACGGCUUAACUGUGAGCGUGCGGGCGAUACGGGCAGACUAGAGUACUGCAGGGGAGACUGGAAUUCCUGGUGUAGCGGUGGAAUGCGCAGAUAUCAGGAGGAACACCGGUGGCGAAGGCGGGUCUCUGGGCAGUAACUGACGCUGAGGAGCGAAAGCGUGGGGAGCGAACAGGAUUAGAUACCCUGGUAGUCCACGCCGUAAACGGUGGGUACUAGGUGUGGGUUUCCUUCCUUGGGAUCCGUGCCGUAGCUAACGCAUUAAGUACCCCGCCUGGGGAGUACGGCCGCAAGGCUAAAACUCAAAGGAAUUGACGGGGGCCCGCACAAGCGGCGGAGCAUGUGGAUUAAUUCGAUGCAACGCGAAGAACCUUACCUGGGUUUGACAUGCACAGGACGCGUCUAGAGAUAGCGUCU
rnacentral:rRNA from 1 species